GAAGGUAUAGCUCAGUGGUGGAGCGUAUGCUUAGCAUGCAUGAGGUCUUGGGUUCAAGCCCCAGUACCUCCA
rnacentral:tRNA from 1 species